CCUACGGGAGGCCGCAGUGAGGAAUAUUGGUCAAUGGGCGCGAGCCUGAACCAGCCAAGUAGCGUGAAGGAUGACUGCCCUACGGGUUGUAAACUUCUUUUAUAAAGGAAUAAAGUGAGGCACGUGUGCCUUUUUGUAUGUACUUUAUGAAUAAGGAUCGGCUAACUCCGUGCCAGCAGCCGCGGUAAUACGGAGGAUCCGAGCGUUAUCCGGAUUUAUUGGGUUUAAAGGGAGCGUAGAUGGGUUGUUAAGUCAGUUGUGAAAGUUUGCGGCUCAAACGUAAAAUUGCAAUUGAUACUGGCGGUCUUGAGUACAGUAGAGGUAGGCGGAAUUCGUGGUGUAGCGGUGAAAUGCUUAGAUAUCACGAAGAACUCCGAUUGCGAAGGCAGCUUACUAAACUGCCACUGACAUUGAUGCUCGAAAGUGUGGGUAUCAAACAGGAUUAGAUACCCCUGUAGUC
rnacentral:rRNA from 1 species